rnacentral:rRNA from 1 species
GAUGAACGCUGGCGGCGUGCCUAAUACAUGCAAGUCGAGCGAAUGGAUUAAGAGCUUGCUCUUAUGAAGUUAGCGGCGGACGGGUGAGUAACACGUGGGUAACCUGCCCAUAAGACUGGGAUAACUCCGGGAAACCGGGGCUAAUACCGGAUAACAUUUUGAACCGCAUGGGUCGAAAUUGAAAGGCGGCUUCGGCUGUCACUUAUGGAUGGACCCCCGUCGCAUUAGCUAGUUGGUGAGGUAACGGCUCACCAAGGCAACGAUGCGUAGCCGACCUGAGAGGGUGAUCGGCCACACUGGGACUGAGACACGGCCCAGACUCCUACGGGAGGCAGCAGUAGGGAAUCUUCCGCAAUGGACGAAAGUCUGACGGAGCAACGCCGCGUGAGUGAUGAAGGCUUUCGGGUCGUAAAACUCUGUUGUUAGGGAAGAACAAGUGCUAGUUGAAUAAGCUGGCACCUUGACGGUACCUAACCAGAAAGCCACGGCUAACUACGUGCCAGCAGCCGCAGUAA